rnacentral:lncRNA from 1 species
GCCUCAGGGAAGAGGAAGGAGGCCGCGGCUUCGCGUCCCGCCUCUCGCCUGGCUGGCCGUGGGGGGCCUGGACGCAGUGGCCUCCCGAAUCUCCCAGGACCCUAAUAUCGCCCGAGGAUGCUGGGAGGAACGCUGAGCCGACCUCUCCGUUAGGCUGAAGAUUGCACAAACCAUGCUAAUGGCCAGCAUGGAUGGAGGGAGCGUGUGAGAUGUGUGGGGCAGCGUGCUGCAUCUCAGCCAACUCCAGGAGAUGGAACGAAGUCUGUUUGUGGAAACACCCUUCCCCUCUGUUUACUUGGACCUGAUUUUGAAAGUAACAAGUCACUUUAUUUGGGCUGGAGGAAAAAGCACUAAACCAGAUGUUGAGGUGACCGGGAUUCCUGGAAGACAUUCUUCUCUCCAACGAGACACAUGAUGCAUGAAGUAGGAGCCCCUGGCAAGGAGCCCAGGCUGCCAUGGCCUCGCUCGCUCCUGCUUCCCGGCAUGGCCCCGAGGCUAGCUGCCUCUGUACUGCCUGAGCAUCGUCCCCUGGCGUGUCACCAGACUACCCACUACCUGUGCUUGCACCUGCAGGUGGGCAGUUCAGUCGUUGCAGGCUGAAGCUCCCUGUCACAGGAGUCCAUCAGCACUGGAGUUUACCAAAUGGCCCAGUCCAGGAAGCAUGCUCAUGGCAAUACCCGGAGUCUCCACUGCAAGACCAGAGUGACGGAGGCAGCAGAGCUCCUCAGCAGGCCAGGAGUCUCC